GAACCUGGAUAGAAGUAGAACCAAACUACUGAGUCACUGAAGCCUAAACCUAAUCUUCGAUAACAUUGCAUGUUUCUCCACGAAGAUGAAAAGGGGGCUGCUAUAUAUAAACCUUAGAUUGUUGUGAAUCCAAGCAAGAGGUGUUUGAGAAGAAGUUUGCAAUCCAGCAUGAAUGGAGUAACAAACUUGGAACUGGAUGCCACAAACUGCUCGCAGAGACUC